UACAGAGGGUGCAAGCGUUGUUCGGAAUUAUUGGGCGUAAAGGGCGCGUAGGCGGCCAUGCGUGUCUUCCGUGAAAUCCCUCGGCUUAACUGAGGACGUGCGGAAGAAACUGCAAGGCUCGAGUCCGGGAGAGGGGGGUGGAAUUCCCAGUGUAGCGGUGAAAUGCGUAGAUAUUGGGAGGAACACCGGUGGCGAAGGCGGCCCCCUGGACCGGUACUGACGCUGAGGCGCGAAAGCGUGGGUAGCAAACGGG
rnacentral:rRNA from 1 species